GAGACAGCAGUCGCCGCGGGAAAACGGAGGGUGCAAGCGUUAUCCGGAUUUAUUGGGUUUAAAGGGUCCGUAGGCGGAUCUGUAAGUCAGUGGUGAAAUCUCACAGCUUAACUGUGAAACUGCCAUUGAUACUGCAGGUCUUGAGUAAAUUUGAAGUGGCUGGAAUAAGUAGUGUAGCGGUGAAAUGCAUAGAUAUUACUUAGAACACCAAUUGCGAAGGCAGGUCACUAAGAUUUAACUGACGCUGAUGGACGAAAGCGUGGGGAGCGAACAGGAUUAGAUACCCCUGUAGUCCCUGUCUCUUAUAC
rnacentral:rRNA from 1 species